rnacentral:rRNA from 1 species
ACAGGGAUUGCCCUAGUAACGGCGAGUGAAGCGGCAACAGCUCAAAUUUGAAAUCUGGCGUCUUUGGCGUCCGAGUUGUAAUUUGCAGAGGGCGCUUUGGCAUUGGCAGCGGUCCAAGUUCCUUGGAACAGGACGUCACAGAGGGUGAGAAUCCCGUACGUGGUCGCUAGCCUUUACCGUGUAAAGCCCCUUCGACGAGUCGAGUUGUUUGGGAAUGCAGCUCUAAAUGGGAGGUAAAUUUCUUCUAAAGCUAAAUACUGGCCAGAGACCGAUAGCGCACAAGUAGAGUGAUCGAAAGAUGAAAAGCACUUUGGAAAGAGAGUUAAAAAGCACGUGAAAUUGUUGAAAGGGAAGCGCUUGCAGCCAGACUUGCCUGUAGUUGCUCAUCCGGGUUUCUACCCGGUGCACUCUUCUAUAGGCAGGCCAGCAUCAGUUUGGGCGGUUGGAUAAAGGUCUCUGUCAUGUACCUCCUUUCGGGGAGAACUUAUAGGGGAGACGACAUGCAACCAGCCUGGACUGAGGUCCGCGCAUCUGCUAGGAUGCUGGCGUAAUGGCUGUAAGCGGCCCGUCUUGAAACACGGACCAAGGAGUCUAACAUCUAUGCGAGUGUUUGGGUGUCAAGCCCGAGCGCGUAAUGAAAGUGAACGGAGGUGGGAACCUUUCGGGGUGCACCAUCGACCGAUCCUGAUGUCUUCGGAUGGAUUUGAGUAAGAGCAUAGCUGUUGGGACCCGAAAGAUGGUGAACUAUGCUUGAAUAGGGUGAAGCCAGAGGAAACUCUGGUGGAGGCUCGCAGCGGUUCUGACGUGCAAAUCGAUCGUCAAAUUUGGGCAUAGGGGCGAAAGACUAAUCGAACUAUCUAGUAGCUGGUUCCUGCCGAAGUUUCCCUCAGGAU